rnacentral:lncRNA from 1 species
CGCUCUCUAGGACGAGAAAAAAAUAACGAGAGAAAAAAAGAGGAGAGAGAAAAAGGUAUAAGGGUAUUUUGGUUAGUUUGCUGGAAAGCGGACCGAAUCUGCAAAAACGAAAAAGGUGGCCCGGUUUUGCAAAAGCCCAAAAUAAGUGAAUUUUUUAUGCAAAUUGGCCUAAUUCUAAUUACAUAAUAAAGUAUUUACUCUUUGGCUAAUUCCAUCCCGUAAAUUAUAUUAUUCUACUAAUUACUCACUAAAUUUAGUGACUUACAAUUUUCAUCCACAGGCCAAAAACAUAAUAGCGACUUAGGUUUCAUUUAGAAUUGCGGGGAGAUUAUGUUACGAUAGGGUGAGAAAGUACGAUAGAAAAAUAUUCUGUUUAUUUUCGUACGUAAUAUUAUGUUUCGUAAUGUUGAUAAGUCAGUUACGAUAUAUUUUUUGUUAUUCCAUCGGAGAAUACAGAAGCAUAUUAUCUGCUUCUACCCCAACUCUAUUUUAUUUAAUAUCGUCGUAGGGCCUCAAUACCAAAUUGAGCCUUAGUGCUAUUAAAAUUAUUUCAACUCAAUUCCUUAAAAUACAUUAACA